rnacentral:rRNA from 1 species
AUGGAUGGACUUGCUCCGAUGAACAUAAUAACAGACCAGGAUUUUAGAAUGUGUGCAGGCAUAGAGGAGGUAUUUCUGUUGGUAGUGCACAGGCACUGCAGGUGGCAUAUUAUUAAGAAGGCUGAAGAGACGCUAGGACCAUUCUUUGUUGACCGUCCAGAGCUACACAAGGCAUUCAAGUUGUGUGUGGACCACAACUUGACGAUGGAGGAGUUUGAACGGAGCUGGACAGCUAUGAUUGAAACAUACCAAGUCCAAGACAACGAGACACUUAAUAGCCUGUGGGAGAAGCGAAUGUACUGGGUGCCGCCCUACUUCAUGCAGUGCUUCUUUCCAUUUCUGCAGACUACGAGACGCAGCGAGGGGUUCAAUGUUGUUUUGAAGCGUUACGUGAGCCCUGGCAACUCAUUGCUGCAGUUUGCCAAGCAAUAUUCAGCUUUGCAGCAGAAAAUACUGGGAUCUAAGCUACAACAAGAAGCAAACACCGCACCCAAGAAGCCUAAAUUGCUAACAUAUUUACCGAUGAAGAGGCAGAUGAGCAAGAUAUACACCAACAAGAUAUUUAACAAAUUCCAGGAAGAAAAAAAGUGUGCCGACAUGUACACAACUUACCAGGUUGGCGAACAGACCUUCAAGGUGUGUACUCUCAUGGGCAUGUCCGAUUCAGAACCUGAAGACCCGGACAAGGGAAGAAACUACUUUGUGAAGGCCUCAAUAAAUGAAGGUGAAUACUAUUGCCAAUGCUGCAAAUACGAACGUGACGGGAUUGUGUGUUGCCACAUACUCAAAAUAAUGGACAUGCACGCGUUCACGCGAUUGCCCCGCCAUUUCAUACGACGGCGAUAG